AUAUACGCUGAAAUCACUUUAGAAAUUUCUUCCUCUUCAUACACAGGUAAUCUAUCUUUGUCUGCAAUCAGUGAAAAUCUAUUUUUUGCAGAUGUGAUUUUUGACACUGCAUGAAAAUACCCAGUGUUUGAGUCGCCAAGAGAAGCCAUAACUGUCUACUUUGCUGCUUUUAGAAUUCCUCUUCUGAUUUGUAGAGGUGGAGUAACUUCAGGUUCAGCUCAUGAAUUAAAGCCUCAUCAAAUAUUGCGUUGGACAUUGCUGCCUCUAAAGGAUUUUUUGCUUCCUCUAGGGCUUUUUGGUUAUUUUCAUUGAAUUUUUUACUCUAUGCGCAGAUGGCCUUCCUACAGACAGAGAGUCUUUCUUCUACUGUUAAGUAAGAAGAUGCCUCCUAAGUUUCUUUUAUAAUCUCUUUUACUUUCAUGUUGUCUCUUAGAUGUCUAUAGUUGGACCCAAUUUUGGUCAAUACCAAAAUUGACCACGAUCAAAGGAAUGGGCUGAGACAGGCCGAGUCCCACAACGAGAAUCAAGCUCGAAGAAGGAUUCGCAGAGAUCGCAUAACAAGAAGCUGAGAUCGCGGAGCUACCACGGGGAUCUCAGAGUCGACUUAUUAUAAAGGAAGAAGAAGAAACACGAAAGAGGACACGUUGAAAACCCUAGAGCGAGC
rnacentral:lncRNA from 1 species